GGGGGUGUACCGGUUUCGACGGGGGUAUUGACACAGCGCGGGGCAUGCCGAGGCGCUUGUACCUCGUAAAACACGAGCAAUCGCAAAUUAACUGCGAACGAAGAAACUUACGCUCUGGCGGCUUGACCGCCGGACCUUGCACCGGGUAGCGCUUGACCCGGGCCUCGCAAGAGGCAGCAAGGACAAUUAAAGCGAUCGCGCCCCUUCGGGUCACUUGAAGACGGCGUUAAACUUAGGUGACUGGUUUGUCCGCAGCCUGUGCGUCGGCGGCGGAUGAACGAGACACAACGACGGCACUAAGCAUGUAGUCCCGACUGUAGAGAACUUUCGGACGCGGGUUCGACUCCCGCCACCUCCACCA
rnacentral:tmRNA from 1 species